UACGUAGGGCGCAAGCGUUGUCCGGAAUUAUUGGGCGUAAAGAGCUCGUAGGCGGUUCGUCGCGUCGGCUGUGAAAACCCGGAGCUCAACUCCGGGCCUGCAGUCGAUACGGGCGGACUUGAGUGUUGCAGGGGAGACUGGAAUUCCUGGUGUAGCGGUGAAAUGCGUAGAUAUCUGGAGGAACACCGGUGGCGAAGGCGGCAUCCUGGACCGGUAUUGACGCUGAGGCGCGAAAGCUAGGGGAGCAAACGGG
rnacentral:rRNA from 1 species